ensembl:snRNA U6 U6 spliceosomal RNA
GUGCUCGCUCUUGGGGCACAUAUACAAAGAUUUGAACGAUACAGAAAUUAACAUGCCCCCUGUGCAAGGGUGACACACAAAUUUGUGAAGCAUUCCAUAUAAAA